GACGGACGCUGGCGGCGUGCUUAACACAUGCAAGUCGAACGGAAAGGCCCUGCUUUUGUGGGGUGCUCGAGUGGCGAACGGGUGAGUAACACGUGAGUAACCUGCCCUUGACUUUGGGAUAACUUCAGGAAACUGGGGCUAAUACCGGAUAGGAGCUCCUGCUGCAUGGUGGGGGUUGGAAAGUUUCGGCGGUUGGGGAUGGACUCGCGGCUUAUCAGCUUGUUGGUGGGGUAGUGGCUUACCAAGGCUUUGACGGGUAGCCGGCCUGAGAGGGUGGCCGGCCACAUUGGGACUGAGAUACGGCCCAGACUCCUACGGGAGGCAGCAGUGGGGAAUAUUGCACAAUGGGCGGAAGCCUGAUGCAGCAACGCCGCGUGCGGGAUGACGGCCUUCGGGUGGUAAACCGCUUUCGCCUGUGACGAAGCGUGAGUGACGGUAAUGGGUAAAGAAGCACCGGCUAACUACGU
rnacentral:rRNA from 1 species